rnacentral:rRNA from 1 species
AUACGGAGGAUCCGAGCGUUAUCCGGAUUUAUUGGGUUUAAAGGGAGCGUAGGCGGACGCUUAAGUCAGUUGUGAAAGUUUGCGGCUCAACCGUAAAAUUGCAGUUGAUACUGGGUGUCUUGAGUACAGUAGAGGCAGGCGGAAUUCGUGGUGUAGCGGUGAAAUGCUUAGACAUCACGAAGAACUCCGAUUGCGAAGGCAGCCUGCUGGACUGUAACUGACGCUGAUGCUCGAAAGUGUGGGUAUCAAACAGGAUUAGAUACCCUGGUAGUCCACACAGUAAACGAUGAAUACUCGCUGUUUGCGAUAUACAGUAAGCGGCCAAGCGAAAGCGUUAAGUAUUCCACCUGGGGAGUACGCCGGCAACGGUGAAACUCAAAGGAAUUGACGGGG